UAUGGGAUCAGCUGCUGACCGGAUUUUUGUGGCGACGUUUCAGACGGCUUUCUAAAUCGUUUCAACGUCUGGAGUACCAAGUAAUCAUGCAGGAGAAAACGCUAUUGUAAAGGUGUCUUGAGCUCCUGACCAAAACGCGCACUCAAGCUCUCCCGUAUAAUGGCAGUUUGGUAAUUAGCCAAUCAUUAUCUAGACUUCUACAGCAGCAAGACAUGGACGAUGUUGAUUGUGCCACAGAAGAAUUGACAGUCGAACCUAGUCAGCAGAAGACCAAAACGACUCACAGCGUUGCCAGUGACCAUACGCAUUCAUUUCAAUCAGCAAAGGCGCCGACCCUUUGUAGUUUGAUAGUUACGACACUUCGAGAGCCAACGGAUUCCGUCGAUAGUGGAUGGUCGUGGGUCAUAUGCGCUUGCUCUUUCGUAACCAAUUUCGUUGUGUUGGGCACAUUGGCAUCCUUUGGUGUGCUCUACACAGGAUUAUUAGAAUUCUACACUGAGUCUAACACAACCAGCGGCUACUGUGACACAAACAAGAAUGAGAGUGGAAUAAGUGCAGUUACUGCUUGGAUUGGAAAUCAAGCUGUGUUUCUUACGUAUUUGCUUGCCCCAUUUUCAACCAGUCUUGUUGCUCGAUGGGGAGUGAGGCCCGUGACGAUGACUGGAUCUGCACUUGUUUCUGCUGGAGCAUUUCUUACUGCAGCAACAAAUGUGAUGUGGCAGGCAAUUCUGACUUAUGGCGUAAUUCUAGGUGUAGGAGCUUCAUUAUCUGUUACUCCUGUGACUGGAAUACUGCCGGCUUACUUCAACAAGAGAACAUCACUUGCUGUGUGCAUGGCUCGGUCUGCUGCUUGGGUUGCUGGACUGUGUAUGUCUCUAAUUAACCAGACUAUUUUGGAUCGUUAUGGUUGGAGAGCAGUCUGCAUAUUUAUUGGAAGCUACAGCUUGUUGUCGUUUGUGUCUGGACUGUUGAUACGGCCUCGUGUGCAACAGAUUAAGCAAAAGUUGACAAUGAAACAAAUCGUCAUUCGAGCCUGCAAUACACAACGACAUGUUCGAUUUUCAGUGUGGCUGUGGUUGACGUCACUUCACUACUUCUCACUUUACCUUGUCCUUCAUCAUUUGAUUCGUCAUGCUGAAUGCUCAGUUGGAGCGUCAGGCAGGGACGCAGCACUAUUACUGACCUACGCAUCGGUGUUUGGGGCAGUGUCAGGUGUUCUUGUGGGCUACAUUGGCGAUUACGUGAGCAACAGGAUAAUGCUCUUGCAGUUGAUUAUCUUUUUGUCUGGAAUCGUAAACAUUUGUUUUCCAUUCUUCAAGACUUACAGUGAACUUGUCGGAUAUUCGAUUCUGGUUGGUGUGUUUGGAUCAUUUCGGAUGCUAGUCGCUGUCAUUCCUCGGGAUAUAGUCGGACUGGAAGAGAUUGUCAAUGCUUGGGGAAUAUACUCAUUGAUUGCUGGUGUGGUGGCUUCUGCUGGGCCACCGUUUGGCGGUAUGUGCACACUGGUUUGGGUCGGUAAUUUUUUCAUCAAUUUUUGUGUUUUAUGAUGGAUAUAUGACUUUACUGGCUCGUACAAUACUGCUUUUGUGGUUUGUGGUUGUCUGUCGGUUAUUUCUAGUUUAUCAAUGUUCUCUGACAUUUAUCUCAAGAGAAGACAGGAGCAAAAGUUGAACAAGAAGGAGAAACUUGAAUCAGACUCAUGCGUGGGAUGAUGGUACUCCAAUAGAGGAGACCCUCAGCACACUCACAGAUCUUGUUCGUCAGGGCAAAGUUCGAUAUUUGGGUCUGAGCAAUGUGACCGGCUGGCAACUACAGAAAAUCAUCGACCUCACCAAGUACAAGCAUUAUGAACCAUUUGUUUCUCUUCAAGUUUGCUAAUAAAUUUCAAUAAAAUAUGUUUAUAAUAUCACGAGUGUAAUACAUUU